rnacentral:rRNA from 1 species
AGUGAACGCUGGCGGUAGGCCUAACACAUGCAAGUCGAACGGCAGCACAGUAAGAGCUUGCUCUUACGGGUGGCGAGUGGCGGACGGGUGAGGAAUACAUCGGAAUCUACUUUUUCGUGGGGGCUCACGUAGGGAAACUUACGCUAAUACCGCAUACGACCUACGGGUGAAAGCAUGGGAUCUUCGGACCUUGCGCGAUUGAAUGAGCCGAUGUCGGAUUAGCUAGUUGGCGGGGUAAAGGCCCACCAAGGCGACGAUCCGUAGCUGGUCUGAGAGAAUGGUCAGCCACACUGGAACUGAGACACGGUCCAGACUCCUACGAGAGGCAGCAGUGGGGAAUAUUGGACAAUGGGCGCAAGCCUGAUCCAGCCAUACCGCGUGGGUGAAGAAGGCCUUCGGGUUGUAAAGCCCUUUUGUUGGGAAAGAAAAGCAGCAGGUUAAUACCCCGCUGUUCUGACGGUACCCAAAGAAUAAGCACCGGCUAACUUCGUG